rnacentral:rRNA from 1 species
UNGGAGAGGAAAGUGGGAUUCCUAGUGUAGCGGUGAAAUGCGUAGAUAUUAGGAAGAACACCAGUGGCGAAGGCGACUUUCUGGACGAAAACUGACGCUGAGGCGCGAAAGCCAGGGGAGCGAACGGGAUUAGAUACCCCGGUAGUCCUGGCUGUAAACGAUGGGUACUAGGUGUAGGAGGUAUCGACCCCUUCUGUGCCGGAGUUUACGCAAUAAGUACCCCGCCUGGGGAGUACGACCGCAAGGUUGAAACUCAAAGGAAUUGACGGGGGCCCGCACAAGCGGUGGAGUAUGUGGUUUAAUUCGACGCAACGCGAAGAACCUUACCAGGUCUUGACAUUGAUGGACAGAACCAGAGAUGGUUCCUCUUCUUCGGAAGCCAGAAAACAGGUGGUGCACGGUUGUCGUCAGCUCGUGUCGUGAGAUGUUGGGUUAAGUCCCGCAACGAGCGCAACCCCUAUCUUAUGUUGCCAGCACUUUGGGUGGGGACUCAUGAGAGACUGCCGCAGACAAUGCGGAGGAAGGCGGGGAUGACGUCAAAUCAUCAUGCCCCUUAUGACCUGGGCUACACACGUACUACAAUGGGAGUUAAUAGACGGAAGCGAGAUCGCGAGAUGGAGCAAACCCGAGAAACACUCUCUCAGUUCGGAUCGUAGGCUGCAACUCGCCUACGUGAAGUCGGAAUCGCUAGUAAUCGCAGGUCAGCAUACUGCGGUGAAUACGUUCCCGGGCCUUGUACACACCGC